CUGGCACUGGCACAGCCACCCAGGACACCCUUGCGGCAAUCCUGGCUAACCUGCAGACCUUGAACAGCAGGUUAAGCAAGGUGGAGAGUGCCAUCGCCUCCCCAGGUAACCUUCCUGACCUCUCCGCCCUCACCCCUGCAGUACCUGUGGCACCAACACCCACCCCUAUACUUCCCCCUUCAGCUCCUGCCUCAGAUAAGUCUCCUUUUGUGUCACCAGCUCACUCCGUCCCAGACUCCAUUAGGAAAGAAAUCCUGGAUGGGAAGGACGUGUGUCUGGUGUCAUUGCUUAUAGCCUCCCAAGACGUGCUGGAGAACAGGGCUCAUAACUUUGGGGAUAUUUCGGUGGUUCUUAAAACCAGAGACCCUAGGCUCAACAAAAAAUUAUCUAUUCCCAAUUUCGUUUUGGCUUUCGGGAUAUACCGAGAUGUCAUCUGCUCGGUAUAUCCCCACAGGAGAGAGGAACUUCUAUCUCCAUAAAGUGGUGGAUUUGGGCGUCAAGUACGGGGGCUCAUUUUUUAAUGACUAUCAUAAAUCGAUAUCAGCAAAAGCAGCGACACAUCUGAAACAAUUUAACAUAGAAUUAACUGGUGUCAGAUGGAUACAGAAUUAUUCUGUCGCCACUUCGCUGGUCUGAGGCCCCCGUCUUGUGCCAUAUGUAAUUCUUCAACUCACUUGGCUGAUUUGUGCCCUUCUGUGGCUAAUCCAUCCACCCCCACUCCCACCCCUCAAUCCACUUCCACUCCUCACAAUAAACAUGAGGGUGGUCAGCGGGAUAAACUGGGUAGGCCCAUCUCCUUUCUAGGGAAAGCUCAGGUGUGCAACAAUUUCAAUGCAGGUUCCUGCAGCUUCAGCGCCUGUAGAUUUUUUGCACAUCUGCUCGAUCUGUUUUCACACUAAGACCUUGUGCCCGG